rnacentral:miRNA from 1 species
AUGGUCACCUCCGGGACU